rnacentral:rRNA from 1 species
UUCACUUCGGUGACCUGGACACAGGUGCUGCAUGGCUGUCGUCAGCUCGUGUCGUGAGAUGUUGGGUUAAGUCCCGCAACGAGCGCAACCCUCGCCUUUAGUUGCCAUCAUUUAGUUGGGCACUCUAGAGGGACUGCCGGUGAUAAGCCGGAGGAAGGUGGGGAUGAUGUCAAGUCAUCAUGGCCCUUAUGGGCUGGGCUACACACGUGCUACAAUGGUGGUGACAGAGGGCAGCUAGACAGCGAUGUCAUGCUAAUCCCAAAAAGCCAUCUCAGUUCGGAUUGCACUCUGCAACUCGAGUGCAUGAAGUCGGAAUCGCUAGUAAUCGCAGAUCAGCAUGCUGCGGU